UACGUAGGGUGCAAGCGUUGUCCGGAAUUAUUGGGCGUAAAGAGCUCGUAGGCGGUCUGUCGCGUCUGCUGUGAAAACUCAGGGCUUAACCCUGAGCUUGCAGUGGGUACGGGCAGACUAGAGUGCGGUAGGGGAGACUGGAAUUCCUGGUGUAGCGGUGAAAUGCGCAGAUAUCAGGAGGAACACCGGUGGCGAAGGCGGGUCUCUGGGCCGUAACUGACGCUGGAGGAGCGGAAAGCAUUGGGGAGCGAACAGG
rnacentral:rRNA from 1 species